rnacentral:rRNA from 1 species
GGGUUGUGAGGUUAAGCGACUAAGCGUACACGGUGGAUGCCCUGGCAGUCAGAGGCGAUGAAGGACGUGCUAAUCUGCGAAAAGCGUCGGUAAGGUGAUAUGAACCGUUAUAGCCGGCGAUGUCCGAAUGGGGAAACCCAGUGCAAUUCGUUGCACUAUCGUUAACUGAAUACAUAGGUUAACGAGGCGAACCGGGGGAACUGAAACAUCUAAGUACCCCGAGGAAAAGAAAUCAACCGAGAUUCCCCCAGUAGCGGCGAGCGAACGGGGAGCAGCCCAGAGUCUGAAUCAGCUUGUGUGUUAGUGGAACGGUCUGGAAAGUCCGACGGUACAGGGUGAUAGUCCCGUACACCAAAAUGCACAGGCUGUGAACUCGAAGAGUAGGGCGGGACACGUGGUAUCCUGUCUGAAUAUGGGGGGACCAUCCUCCAAGGCUAAAUACUCCUGACUGACCGAUAGUGAACCAGUACCGUGAGGGAAAGGCGAAAAGAACCCCGGCGAGGGGAGUGAAAAAGAACCUGAAACCGUGUACGUACAAGCAGUGGGAGCACCUUCGGGUGUGACUGCGUACCUUUUGUAUAAUGGGUCAGCGACUUAUAUUCUGUAGCAAGGUUAACCGUAUAGGGGAGCCGCAGGGAAACCGAGUCUUAACUGGGCGUUAAGUUGCAGGGUAUAGACCCGAAACCCGGUGAUCUAGCCAUGGGCAGGUUGAAGGUUGGGUAACACUAACUGGAGGACCGAACCGACUAAUGUUGAAAAAUUAGCGGAUGACUUGUGGCUGGGGGUGAAAGGCCAAUCAAACCGGGAGAUAGCUGGUUCUCCCCGAAAGCUAUUUAGGUAGCGCCUCGUGAAUUCAUCUUCGGGGGUAGAGCACUGUUUCGGCUAGGGGGUCAUCCCGACUUACCAACCCGAUGCAAACUACGAAUACCGAAGAAUGUUAUCACGGGAGACACACGGCGGGUGCUAACGUCCGUCGUGAAGAGGGAAACAACCCAGACCGCCAGCUAAGGUCCCAAAGUCAUGGUUAAGUGGGAAACGAUGUGGGAAGGCACAGACAGCCAGGAUGUUGGCUUAGAAGCAGCCAUCAUUUAAAGAAAGCGUAAUAGCUCACUGGUCGAGUCGGCCUGCGCGGAAGAUGUAACGGGGCUAAACCAUGCACCGAAGCUGCGGCAGCGACACUAUGUGUUGUUGGGUAGGGGAGCGUUCUGUAAGCCUGCGAAGGUGUGCUGUGAGGCAUGCUGGAGGUAUCAGAAGUGCGAAUGCUGACAUAAGUAACGAUAAAGCGGGUGAAAAGCCCGCUCGCCGGAAGACCAAGGGUUCCUGUCCAACGUUAAUCGGGGCAGGGUGAGUCGACCCCUAAGGCGAGGCCGAAAGGCGUAGUCGAUGGGAAACAGGUUAAUAUUCCUGUACUUGGUGUUACUGCGAAGGGGGGACGGAGAAGGCUAUGUUAGCCGGGCGACGGUUGUCCCGGUUUAAGCAUGUAGGCUGGUUGUCCAGGCAAAUCCGGAUAAUCAAGGCUGAGGUGUGAUGACGAGGCACUACGGUGCUGAAGUAACAAAUGCCCUGCUUCCAGGAAAAGCCUCUAAGCAUCAGGUAACAUUAAAUCGUACCCCAAACCGACACAGGUGGUCAGGUAGAGAAUACCAAGGCGCUUGAGAGAACUCGGGUGAAGGAACUAGGCAAAAUGGUGCCGUAACUUCGGGAGAAGGCACGCUGGUGUGUAGGUGAAGUCCCUGCGGAUGGAGCUGAGACCAGUCGAAGAUACCAGCUGGCUGCAACUGUUUAUUAAAAACACAGCACUGUGCAAACACGAAAGUGGACGUAUACGGUGUGACGCCUGCCCGGUGCCGGAAGGUUAAUUGAUGGGGUUAUCCGUAAGGAGAAGCUCUUGAUCGAAGCCCCGGUAAACGGCGGCCGUAACUAUAACGGUCCUAAGGUAGCGAAAUUCCUUGUCGGGUAAGUUCCGACCUGCACGAAUGGCGUAAUGAUGGCCAGGCUGUCUCCACCCGAGACUCAGUGAAAUUGAACUCGCUGUGAAGAUGCAGUGUACCCGCGGCAAGACGGAAAGACCCCGUGAACCUUUACUAUAGCUUGACACUGAACAUUGAGCCUUGAUGUGUAGGAUAGGUGGGAGGCUUUGAAGCGUGGACGCCAGUCUGCGUGGAGCCAACCUUGAAAUACCACCCUUUAAUGUUUGAUGUUCUAACGUUGGCCCCUUACCGGGGUUGCGGACAGUGUCUGGUGGGUAGUUUGACUGGGGCGGUCUCCUCCCAAAGCGUAACGGAGGAGCACGAAGGUUAGCUAAUCCUGGUCGGACAUCAGGAGGUUAGUGCAAUGGCAUAAGCUAGCUUGACUGCGAGCGUGACGGCGCGAGCAGGUGCGAAAGCAGGUCAUAGUGAUCCGGUGGUUCUGAAUGGAAGGGCCAUCGCUCAACGGAUAAAAGGUACUCCGGGGAUAACAGGCUGAUACCGCCCAAGAGUUCAUAUCGACGGCGGUGUUUGGCACCUCGAUGUCGGCUCAUCACAUCCUGGGGCUGAAGUAGGUCCCAAGGGUAUGGCUGUUCGCCAUUUAAAGUGGUACGCGAGCUGGGUUUAGAACGUCGUGAGACAGUUCGGUCCCUAUCUGCCGUGGGCGCUGGAGAAUUGAGGGGGGCUGCUCCUAGUACGAGAGGACCGGAGUGGACGCAUCACUGGUGUUCGGGUUGUCAUGCCAAUGGCACUGCCCGGUAGCUAAAUGCGGAAGAGAUAAGUGCUGAAAGCAUCUAAGCACGAAACUUGCCCCGAGAUGAGUUCUCCCUGAGACUUUAAGUCUCCUGAAGGAACGUUAAAGACGAUGACGUUGAUAGGCCGGGUGUGUAAGCGCAGCGAUGCGUUGAGCUAACCGGUACUAAUGAACCGUGAGGCUUAACCUUACAACGCCGAAG